rnacentral:rRNA from 1 species
UACGUAGGGUGCAAGCGUUGUCCGGAUUUAUUGGGCGUAAAGAGCUCGUAGGCGGUCUGUCGCGUCGGAUGUGAAAACCUGUAGCUCAACUACGGGCCUGCAUUCGAUACGGGCAGACUAGAGUUUGGUAGGGGAGAUUGGAAUUCCUGGUGUAGCGGUGAAAUGCGCAGAUAUCAGGAGGAACACCGGUGGCGAAGGCGGAUCUCUGGGCCAAUACUGACGCUGAGGAGCGAAAGCGUGGGGAGCAAACAGG